CUCUCCUUGGUCUAAUUGGUUAUGACAUCUGGUUGUCAGUGGUAUUCAUCCAAUACUAUUCCUUCGCCAGAAGGCCCCGGGCUCGAUCGCCGGAGGGGAGA